UACGGAGGGUGCAAGCGUUAUCCGGAUUCACUGGGUUUAAAGGGUGCGUAGGUGGGCAAGUAAGUCAGUGGUGAAAUCUCCGGGCUUAACCCGGAAACUGCCAUUGAUACUAUUUGUCUUGAAUACUGUGGAGGUCAGCGGAAUAUGUCAUGUAGCGGUGAAAUGCUUAGAUAUGACAUAGAACACCAAUUGCGAAGGCAGCUGGCUACACAAAUAUUGACACUGAAGCACGAAAGCGUGGGGAUCAAACAGG
rnacentral:rRNA from 1 species